rnacentral:rRNA from 1 species
CCUACGGGAGACAGCAGUGAGGAAUAUUGGUCAAUGGCCGCAAGGCUGAACCAGCCAAGUCGCGUGAAGGAUGACGGAUCUACGGUUUGUAAACUUCUUUUAUAGGGGAAUAAAGUUAUCCACGUGUGGCUAUUUGCAUGUACUUUAUGAAUAAGCAUCGGCUAACUCCGUGCCAGCAGCCGCGGUAAUACGGAGGAUCCGAGCGUUAUCCGGAUUUAUUGGGUUUAAAGGGUGCGUAGGUUGUUUUUUAAGUCAGCGGUGAAAGUUUGCGGCUCAACCGUAAAAUUGCAGUUGAUACUGGAAGACUUGAGUGUAGUUGAGGUAGGCGGAAUUCGUGGUGUAGCGGUGAAAUGCAUAGAUAUCACGAAGAACUCCGAUUGCGAAGGCAGCUUACUAAACCGUAACUGACACUGAUGCUCGAAAGCGUGGGGAUCAAACAGGAUUAGAUACCCUGGUAGUC